rnacentral:rRNA from 1 species
GUUCCAGACUCCUACGGGAGGCAGCAGUGAGGAAUAUUGGUCAAUGGGCGGGAGCCUGAAUCAGCCAAGUCGCGUGAGGGAAGACGGUCCUAUGGAUUGUAAACCUCUUUUGUCGGGGAGCAAAGAGGCCUCGUGAGGUCAAAAGCGAGAGUACCCGAAGAAAAAGCAUCGGCUAACUCCGUGCCAGCAGCCGCGGUAAUACGGAGGAUGCGAGCGUUAUCCGGAUUUAUUGGGUUUAAAGGGUGCGUAGGCGGGCUGUUAAGUCAGCGGUCAAAUGUCGGGGCUCAACCCCGGCCUGCCGUUGAAACUGGCGGCCUCGAGUGGGCGAGAAGUAUGCGGAAUGCGUGGUGUAGCGGUGAAAUGCAUAGAUAUCACGCAGAACUCCGAUUGCGAAGGCAGCAUACCGGCGCUCAACUGACGCUCAUGCACGAAAGUGUGGGUAUCGAACAGGAUUAGAUACCCUCGUAC